GAGCUCGUAGGCGGUUUGUCGCGUCUGCCGUGAAAGUCCGGCGCCCUUCUCCGGAUCUGCGGUGGGUACGGGCAGACUAGAGUGAUCUUUGGGAGACUGGAAUUCCUGGUGUAGCGGUGAAAUGCGCAGAUAUCAGGAGGAACACCGAUGGCGAAGGCAGGUCUCUGGGCAUUAACUGACGCUGAGGAGCGAAAGCAUGGGGAGCGAACAGGAUUAGAUACCCUGGUAGUCCAUGCCGUAAACGUUGGGCACUAGGUGUGGGGGACAUUCCACGUUUUCCGCGCCGUAGCUAACGCAUUAAGUGCCCCGCCUGGGGAGUACGGCCGCAAGGCUAAAACUCAAAGGAAUUGACGGGGGCCCGCACAAGCGGCGGAGCAUGCGGAUUAAUUCGAUGCAACUUUAAGAACCUUACCAAGGCUUGACAUGGACCGGAGCGCCGCAGAAAUGUGGUUUCCCCUUUGGGGCUGGUUUACAGGUGGUGCAUGGUUGUCGUCAGCUCGUGUCGUGAGAUGUUGGGUUAAGUCCCGCAACGAGCGCAACCCUCGUUCUAUGUUGCCAGCACGUGAUGGUGGGGACUCAUAGGAGA
rnacentral:rRNA from 1 species